rnacentral:lncRNA from 1 species
AGUCGCGUUUUCUUCAGUAUAGGCGCAAAAUUUAAAACGCGAUUAUGGAAAACGCGAUUCUAAGGCGCGUUUUCAGCCCAAGUGCGUUUUCUUCUGCGAAAUUUUUGCAGAAAGCCAAUUUUGAAAAAUUACCAUUUGUACCCCAAUCACUCAAAAUGCAUCAUAGAUCAUUUGUUUGCUAAAAUUCUCAAUGCAUGCACAUGUAAAAUGAUCAAAAUAUGCAUUUUAACCCCUUCUAACAAAUCAAAAACAACAAUUACUCAAAUUGAGGGUUUGAGUUCCUUGAUCAAAUUUCGCCUUUUUCACCUCAUUUGGUCACUUUUGCUUCCAUUUCCAAUACCUACAAAUGAAAAAUAACAAAAUAACUCAAACAUAUACUUUAAACAUAAAAUCACCCCAAAAUAACAUAAACUUAAACAAACAUUGGGUUGCCUCCCAAUAAGCGCUUCUUUAAAGUCAAUAGCUUGACUAUUUCACCUCAUUUUUCAAGGAGGCUUAGUU